rnacentral:lncRNA from 1 species
GUGUGGAUUAUUUUUUUUUAUAUAUCAUAUUUAUACUACAAUAGUGUGGAUCACCUAUUCAAUCCAAAAGAAAAAGAUUGCCCAUUGACCUUUGUGACUGUGUAGAAUUUGGAUUGGGCCUUCAAGCUCUUUAUAGCACAACUUUUGAUGCCUCGUGAUGGAUUGUUCAUCCUCGAAGGGUUUUGAUCUCUUAUUUUGCUCUUU